rnacentral:rRNA from 1 species
ACGGAAGGCAGCAGUGGGGAAUAUUGCGCAAUGGGGGGAACCCUGACGUAGCAACGCCGCGUGAGUGAGGAAGUAUUUCGGUAUGUAAAGCUCUAUCAACGGGGACGAUAAUGACGGUACCCGAGUAAGAAGUCCCGGCUAACUACGUGCCAGCAGCCGCGGUAAUACGUAGGGGACAAGCGUUAUCCGGAUUUACUGGGUGUAAAGGGUGCGUAGGCGGCAAAGCAAGUCAGAAGUGAAAGCCCGCGGCUCAACUGCGGGACUGCUUUUGAAACUGUUUAGCUAGAGUACUGGAGGGGCAAGCGGAAUUCCUGGUGUAGCGGUGAAAUGCGUAGAUAUCAGGAAGAACACCGGAGGCGAAGGCGGCUUGCUGGACAGAGACUGACGCUGAGGCACGAAGGCGUGGGGAGCAAACAGGAUUAGAUACCCUGGUA